GACCGCGUGGCCGAGUGGGUAAGGCACUGGAUUUCGAUGCCAGAGUUUGCAGGUUCGAGUCCUGCCGCGGACCA